AAUUUUUUUCUUCGAAUGCUCGGGCAAAGAACUAGUUUAUUCUAUAUAUAAGGUGUUCUACGCUCUGAGACUGUCCACUCUCUCUCCUCUAAUCCUCUAAUUCUGUUUCACUCUAAUUUUUAAACAGAGAUGAAAUAAAGCUAUAACCAUUGGAACACUAAGUAUUCUAAAUUCUCCAUUGAAGCGAAUAUCAACUUUACAGUCGUGAAGAAUGGAGUAGCCAGCAGCGAAACCUAAGGACGGUGGCUGAACAAUCAGAAGAAUUUGAAGAAAUACAGCUUGGCCCUUUUCCGAUCGAACAAUUAAAGGUACAAUUGUCAAAUUUUUCCUCAUUUUUCUCUCAUCAACUUGAUAACUACCUCUUAUUUAUCUGGAUUUUCUACAUUUUCUAUCAAUUUUAUCUCAUCCCCAUCUCUCAAUCCCACCCCUUUCUCUCUCUCCACAACCAUGAUGUACGAUGAACCUCCACCUUCACCACUACCGCAGCAGCAUCAACAACACCCGCAACAACACCAACACCAGCACCAACCACCGCCGCAGCAAGGACCACCAUCGCACCAUAUGCAACACCCACCACCAUCACACAUGCAUCCUCCGCCGUAGUACAAGCAGCACCCGCUGCUUCCUCCGCAGCACCAACAGCAUCCUGGAAUGGACUUUCACAGGGGCCCACCUCCACCUCCUCCUACUAUGAUGCGACAGUCUUCUGCUUCUUCUACUAAUCUCCCUCCUCCCGAUUUUCAUCACCCUCAACAACCUCCUGAAUUCUUCGCACCGCAUCCAGCCAAUAGCAAAAUUAAAAUGAAUUAGUUCCUGGGAACUAUGUCAUGAAGAUGUCUGCUGUGACCUUAUAGUAUACUUUGACGGGAGAAGAUUCUUCAUAAACUGAGAAAUCAAAUUAUGGGUUUCAACUGUGUGAAGAUAUUUAACAAGAAAGGGAAGGAACCCCAAGUUUGGCUUUAUCUAAUGAAUAUUCAGUAUGCAAGUCUGUUUGAAUCGCUCUGCAACUGUUGAGUUGGGUGGGGUGAGGAGGGCGAGGGAAGGUCAGGGAGUCUUAACAAUGAUCAACAAUAGUGCCUUAUUUUUUGGGCAGUUAUACCUUUUGGUCUGAGCCACACAACUCUGAUAUAGGCUGACUGAUUUGCACGAGCUUUGGUGUAAGAAGAUCUACAAUCAUGCUCCUUGGAGCAGUUUGACAUCUAAAGUAGUAUGCUUUUCUUUACCCUACAUGAAGAUUUGUUUGAGUUUUGGUUGUUAUAAAUGAGUUUGCAAUAGUUUUUUUUAAUUAUGUGUCUAAUAAAUAGUUGAUACCGUUUAGUCAUUGUUAUGGGUAUUCAUAGGAGUAUAAAGUUUAUUUUGGCCUCAUCAUCCCAAGAAAACUGAGGAAAACCAAUUGUUGGUUGUUUAAUGGUGUGGAAUCCUUCGUCCUAUGGUUAUAGCUCACAAUUUGAUUGGUAUACAUUCAUUGAAUUUUGCUUUUA